UUCUAGCCUGCCCAGUGAAAAAUUUAACGGCCGCGGUACCCUAACCGUGCGAAGGUAGCAUAAUCACUUGUUCUUUAAAUGAGGACUUGUAUCAACGGCAUCACGAGGGUUAAACUGUCUCCUUUUUCAUAUCAGUGAAACUAAUCUCCCCGUGAAGAAGCGGGGAUAAAUUUAUAAGACGAGAAGACCCCAUGGAGCUUUAAACUCAACUACACUCCUUUAAAUUUUUCUUUUAAACUUUUAAGAUCUUGUAUGUUCUGUUUUAGGUUGGGGUGACCACGGAGCAUAAACUAGCCUCCACAAUGAAUAGAUUUUUCUCUUUAUCCAAGACCUACACCUCUAAGAAUUAGUAUUCUAACAUAAAAUGAUCCGAUAUUCGAUCAACGAACCAAGUUACCCUGGGGAUAACAGCGCAAUCUACUUCAAGAGCUCCUAUCGACAAGUGGGUUUACGACCUCGAUGUUGGAUCAGGGUAUCCUAGUGGUGCAGCAGCUACUAAAGGUUCGUUUGUUCAACGAUUAAAACCCU
rnacentral:rRNA from 1 species